rnacentral:lncRNA from 1 species
ACAAAAUUAAAGUCCUCAUCUUUAUACCUUUCAAUAACAUGUAUUCUUGAGAUUGUUGCACAAUGCAACUGCAACUUAAUACCAGGGAAACCUUUUUCUCGGCGAGAGAUAAUCUCUCCCUCACCAGUCAAUGUUCUUGAUUUCUUAGGUGUGUCGUCGCCAAAAAUAUCACUACUAUCGUGUUUACGUUUAGAAGUUCUGGUAUCUUCAGCCUCUCCUACUCCUUCCUCGGGUAAGCAAGGGGUAAUUGAUAGUUCUCCUGAAAAAACUAAAGCGCACAAAUGAAAAAUUUCACCACACUGCAAAUCCUCAGGAAGAUCAAACCCUUUUUCCAUUAGAUCAGUUUCUCUUUCCUGGAGCCAGCAAGCAAAGUUAGCAGCUCUCUUUCCAGUGUUCAUGGGAAAUGGAGACAAAGAAAUACUUUGCAGAAAGUGCUGUGAAAGAACAAAUGGGCUAUUAUAGCUACCACCAAUCUGCCAAAGGAAGAAAAAAUUUGUUAGUUUAUUAUGCCAAAUACCAAUAAAAGGAAAAAAAGAACUAGUGAGAUUAAAAUAUUUGUCUUUCAAUGGCAUUUAAACAAACAUCUCAUAAUAUAAGGAUUUGUAUUUCUGCUGUAUUUAUGGAUUAAUAAUUAUAUUUUAAUGGUGAUUAUUUAACAUUAGAUCAAAUACUUGUGCCCUACAUUGUGAUAAUAUUGUUUGAGAUUUCAGUGCCGUUCCAAGAUAUAGCUUUAAAUUUGCCCAUGGAGACAAGUUCCUAUGUAAAUAGGAGGGGCGGUACUUUUUUGAUGGAAACAAAAAAUCUUCAUCAUAUGUGGCCUGUCCAAGUAUUUUACUGUUAAGAAUAGUCAUGAUUUUUUUUCAAUUACUGUUUAUUCAGCAGUGUGCUAGAUAUAUUCAUUUUAUCCAUAUUGCAGUGAUCAAAUGAUGAUGUAUAUUGCAGGAAAUAUAAUUUACCAUAAUUUUCUUUUCUCUUAGGUAGUUAAAAGCGGCAAAAAGAUCAUGCUCAGAAUAACGUCUUAAUGUUUCAGCUAGCAGAGUAGGAACUUCAGGAGCUGACGAUGUGCUUAGAAAGAUUAGCUUAAAUAGCUCAGCAGCAUUUGCAACAGCAACAGAUUCAUGUGCUCUUCUGCUAACACUUGCACCUUCAUUUAAAAGUUUCACAUACUUUUUAGGAAGCAGUCGAGAGCUCGAUCUUUGAGGACAAGCUCUACUCUUCUCUUCACAAUUCUCAAAUUCCUGACUAUGAGGGGCUGAAGAAGUGAUUCCAGUGCCACGGGGAUACUGUACACAAGAGAGUAAAAGAAGUAAAUGACAAAGCACUCCAUAGAUUAUAAAUGUCAUCAGCAACAGAGAUGGACAGCAGAAUAGCUUUGGCAGAAAACAGACACUUGUUAUUCACCUUAAUAACACAUUUAACUGGAAAACACAAUUCACAUUUCAAAUUUCUAUCCCUCUUUCUGUGUUUAUAUUUUCCUUGGUUGUUGGGGGGAAAGUGGUAGUACAAGUCUGAACUCGUGACACUUAACACAGAUUAUGAUCAAAUAGACAUACGUAACAAAUUACGGAAAUAUUAUAUUCCUAUGAAACAUAGAUAAAGAUAAUAGGGGAAUGUCAACUUACUUUUCCUUCCCCGUCUUCUUUAUCUGAACACAUAUGCUUGGAGGCCUCCAAUUUAGCCAAUCGUUUGUUUAGUAGAACAUCAUCUAAUGCUCGCUUGAUAAUAUUGUCAUCAAAAUUAUCCCAACAUGUUCCAAAUUUAGAUGAUGAGGAGCACACAUUUUCUUCUUCAACUGCGUAAUCCUGGUCCCUCAUUUCAGUAUCAGCAUGAUUCAACAUUUUUCCCUGGACUUGCUCAAGGUAUCUUGCAUACCGUUCUGCAAGAAUAUUGCAUAGCUUCAUUACAGCUUUUCUGAAAGGGAUAUAACUGUUCAAUAUUGCCAUUCUUCGUCUGCAGGAAUCAGGAGAAGCUGGAAGAGCUGAAAUUGAUGCCCAAUCUACACGGUGAAACUUUGCCCCAAGAGCAGCUCGGUAUCUUGCUCCUGUAAUGACAAAAAAUGAAGAAAAGCGUCUAUGUGAUACCAAUAACUAUAGGUCAAUCAAUAAAACAAACCUUUAUAGCUCGCCUAAAUGUUUCAAGCACCUCAACCAUAAUUUCUAACAUAUUACCUGAAAAGGAACUUGGUGUUAUCAAUAUGAAAGAAAUUGCACAUUAAAAAAGCAAGAAUGGAGAUAUGCAAAAUUCAAAAAGAGUAACCACUGUAUACCCUGCAUGUUCAAGACCUUCGAAAUUUCCUUCAUGCUCAAACCUUGGUCACCAGACUUUUGAAUGGCUGAAUAAAGAGUUUUAAAUACCUCGGGAUGAAGAGAAAAUCUUUUUUCUUGACAAGAACGCAAAGAUAUCAGAUAUUCUGAAUAGCUUGUCAUCGCUUCCCAUGGUGAUUUACUCACAUCAUAUGCAGGAAGGAUUGUUGUCCCAGAAUCUAGGAUUUCUCUAGCAUGAUCGGCUACAUCAGAAUGUGAUGUGUUACGGUCAACCUCCAAACUGAGAGUAUCAGUUGGAGUGCUUUUGCCAAGUGUGACAAAAUUAAAGUCCUCAUCUUUAUACCUUUCAAUAACAUGUAUUCUUGAGAUUGUUGCACAAUGCAACUGCAACUUAAUACCAGGGAAACCUUUUUCUCGGCGAGAGAUAAUCUCUCCCUCACCAGUCAAUGUUCUUGAUUUCUUAGGUGUGUCGUCGCCAAAAAUAUCACUACUAUCGUGUUUACGUUUAGAAGUUCUGGUAUCUUCAGCCUCUCCUACUCCUUCCUCGGGUAAGCAAGGGGUAAUUGAUAGUUCUCCUGAAAAAACUAAAGCGCACAAAUGAAAAAUUUCAC